CUGAAAUCUCAAGCCUGAGGCAGCCACAGCUUCUCUCCAAAACCCGUGUCUUAAGGAAGGAGAUUUACAACCUUACAAAGACCAUCAUUAGGCUAUGAUGUGCUGGGGCCACAACUUGACCAAGACUGCUUGGACAUGCACAUCCUUCAUCUCACUCAGGACUCUGAAGGACAGGUGACCAAACCUGGCUUUUCAGGGUACAGACUGUGACCCCCAAGGCCCCUCAUGGCACACCUCCUGCUUCCCCUGGACACUGACCAUUCUCACCCAUUCCCUCUCGGAGCAGGUGACAGG